UUUUGUUUUUUUUUCCUUUUUCACGAGGAAAAGGAACCAACAGGGAUUGCCUCAGUAACGGCGAGUGAAGCGGCAAAAGCUCAAAUUUGAAAUCUAGCACCUUCGGUGUUCGAGUUGUAAUUUGAAGAUGGUAACCUUGGGUUUGGCUCUGUCUAUGUUCCUUGGAACAGGACGUCAUAGAGGGUGAGAAUCCCGUCUGAUGAGAUGCCCAUUCCUAUGUAAGGUGCUAUCGAAGAGUCGAGUUGUUUGGGAAUGCAGCUCUAAGUGGGUGGUAAAUUCCAUCUAAAGCUAAAUAUUGGCGAGAGACCGAUAGCGAACAAGUACAGUGAUGGAAAGAUGAAAAGAACUUUGAAAAGAGAGUGAAAAAGUACGUGAAAUUGUUGAAAGGGAAGGGCAUUAGAUCAGACUUGGUGUUUUACGAUUAUCUUCUCUUCUUGAGUUGUGCACUCGUAUUUCACUGGGCCAGCAUCGAUUCGGAUGGCAAGAUAAUGGCAGUUGAAUGUGGCUUCACUUCGGUGGAGUGUUAUAGCUUCUGCUGAUAUUGCCUGUCUGGAUCGAGGGCUGCGUCUUUGACUAGGAUCACUGCCCGUAU
rnacentral:rRNA from 1 species